GUAGGAAGUGAUGAAGAAAAGGUUGGUCCGUGUUUCUGAUUUGUCAGUGACUGAUAACCAUCUCUCUUUGCUUCUGAUCCUAC
rnacentral:snoRNA from 1 species